GGACAUACCUGAGAUUGGGUAAUUUAUAAAGAAAAGAAGUUUAAUUGACUCACAGUUCCACAUGGCAGAGGAAGCAUCAGGAAAGUUACAAUCAUGGUGUAAGGUGAAGGGGAAGCAAUCACAUCUUACCAUGGCAGAAAAGAAAAGAGAAAGAGAGAGCAAAGGAGGAAGUGCUACAUACUUUCAAACAAUCAGGUCUUGUAAGAACUCACUCACUAUUAUGAGAAGAGCAAGGGGUAAGUCUGCCCCCAUGAUUCAAUCACCUCUUGCCAGACUCCUUCUGUGACAUGUGGGAAUCACUGUUGGAGAUGAGAUAU